rnacentral:rRNA from 1 species
GAUGAGCGCUAGCGGCAGGCUUAAUACAUGCAAGUCGAGGGGCAGCAGGACUGUAGCAAUACAGUUGCUGGCGACCGGCAAACGGGUGCGGAACACGUACGCAACCUACCCAAAACUGGGGGAUAGCCCGGGGAAACCCGGAUUAAUACCUCGUAACCUUUUUAAGUGGCAUCACUUGAUAGGUAUAGCUCCGGCGGUUUUGGAUGGGCGUGCGCCUGAUUAGGUAGUUGGUGCGGGUAACGGCCCACCAAGCCUGCGAUCAGUAACUGGUGUGAGAGCACGACCAGUCACACGGGCACUGAGACACGGGCCCGACUCCUACGGGAGGCAGCAGUAAGGAAUAUUGGUCAAUGGACGCAAGUCUGAACCAGCCAUGCCGCGUGAAGGAUGAAGGUCCUCUGGAUUGUAAACUUCUUUUAUGGGGGACGAAACCCGGAUAUUCUUAUCCGAUUGACGGUACCUCAGGAAUAAGCACCGGCUAACUCCGUG